AAGCGAAUAGUGAAAUCUGGUGGCUCAACCAUCAACACAUUGUUCGAACUGCUGGUCUCGAGAAUGGUAGAGGUAGCUGGAAUUUCUUGUGUAGGAGUGAAAUCCGUAGAUAUAAGAAGGAACACCAAUGGCGUAGGCAGGCUACUGGACCAUUUCUGACGCUGAGGCACGAAAGCGUGGGGAGCAAACGGGAUUAGAUACCCCGGUAGUCCACGCCGUAAACUAUGGAUGCUA
rnacentral:rRNA from 1 species